UGAGUCAGUCGGGUGACCGCGUCUCGGGUUGUUCGCAAGGGCACUCGGGCCGAGGAAGGUCGGGACUCCAUAGAGCAGGGUGCUAGUGAGAGCUAGGUCGGAGUGAUCUGACGGUUAGGGCAGCAGAGAGCAGACCGCCGAUGGCCCAGCUACUCCUUCGGGGGCUGUUGGGAACAGGCAAGGGUGAAACGGUGCGGUAAGAGCGCACCAGCGUCGGGAGCGAUUUCGGCGGCUUGGUAACCCCCACCCGGAGCAAGGUCAAGCAGUGGUUCGGGCAGCUCGUCCGCCAACGUGAUUCCCUCGGGAGGAGCAGCGGCAGCCACGGGUAGACCGCAUAGAUGGAUGGUCACCAAACGGAACCCCCGCAAGGGGCCCGGGCACAGAAUCCCGCCUACAGACUGACUCACCGA
rfam:Actinobacteria bacterium IMCC26207 IMCC26207_102, whole genome shotgun sequence.